ACCCACAGCAACCAUGACUUUGAUCAGCGUCUUCAUCUGCACACUGGCCCUCUGGACUCAAGGAUCCAGAGGUCAGGUGACUGUGACUCAGACUCCUUCAGUGCAAACUGUUGCUCCAGGAAACACAGUCACCAUCAACUGUAAAACCAGUAGCGGAGUGAAUGGUGGUAACUAUCUACACUGGUACCUGCAGAAACCUGGAGAAGCUCCUAAACUCCUGAUCUACGCUGCUACUAGCAGACAGUCAGGGAUUCCAGAUCGUUUCAGUGGCAGUGGAUCUAAUACUGACUUCACUCUGACCAUCAGUGGAGUCCAGACUGAAGAUACAGGAGAUUACUACUGUCAGAGUGCACAUUAUAUCAGUCCUAACUGGGUGUUCACACAGUGUUAGAGCGUCGUACAAAAACCUCGG